AGAGUUUGAUCCUGGCUCAGAUUGACGCUGGCGGCAGGCCUAACACAUGCAAGUCGAGCGGUAACAGAGAUAGCUUGCUAUCUGCUGACGAGCGGCGGACGGGUGAGUAAUGCAUAGGAAGUUGCCCAGACGAGGGGGAUAACCACUGGAAACGAUGGCUAAUACCGCAUACUCUCUUAGGAGCAAAGCAGGGGAUCUUCGGACCUUGUGCGUUUGGAUACGCCUAUGUGGGAUUAGCUAGUUGGUGAGGUAAUGGCUCACCAAGGCGACGAUCCCUAGCUGGUCUGAGAGGAUGAUCAGCCACACUGGGACUGAGACACGGCCCAGACUCCUACGGGAGGCAGCAGUGGGGAAUAUUGCACAAUGGGCGCAAGCCUGAUGCAGCCAUGCCGCGUGUAUGAAGAAGGCCUUCGGGUUGUAAAGUACUUUCAGUCGGGAG
rnacentral:rRNA from 1 species